AACGGCCGCGGUACCCUAACCGUGCGAAGGUAGCAUAAUCACUUGUUCUUUAAAUGAGGACUCGUAUCAACGGCAUCACGAGGGUUAAACUGUCUCCUUUCUCCAAUCAAUGAAACUGAUCUUCCCGUGAAGAAGCGGGAAUUUUUUUAUAAGACGAGAAGACCCCAUGGAGCUUUAAACCCAAUUACACCUCUAUUUUUUAUUCCAUUAAAACCUCUAGAAUUCUGUAUAUACGGUUUUAGGUUGGGGUGACCGCGGAGCAUAAAUUAACCUCCACGAUGAAUAGGGAUUAUUCCUUUACCUAAGAAUUACAUUUCUAAGAAUUAGUAUUCUAACAUAAAAUGAUCCGACCCAUUCGAUCAACGAACCAAGUUACCCUGGGGAUAACAGCGCAAUCCAUUUCAAGAGCCCCUAUCGACAAAUGGGUUUACGACCUCGAUGUUGGAUCAGGGUAUCCUAGUGGUGCAGCAGCUACUAAAGGUUCGUUUGUUCAACGAUUAAAACCCU
rnacentral:rRNA from 2 species